rnacentral:rRNA from 1 species
GACGAACGCUGGCGGCGUGCUUAAUACAUGCAAGUCAACUGAACUUUAGGUAGCAAUAUUUAAAGGGAGGUGGCGCACGGGUGAGUAACACGUAGGUAAUCUGCCUUCAGGACUGACAUAAUUCCGCGAAAGCGGGACUAAAAUCAGAUGAUGCAGCGGCUCGACAUCGAGACAGUUGUUAAACCUUCGGGGCCUGAAGAUGAGCCUGCGUCUGAUUAGGUAGUUGGCGGGGUAAAAGCCCACCAAGCCUGCGAUCAGUAGCUGGUCUGAGAGGAUGAUCAGCCACACUGGAACUGAGACACGGUCCAGACUCCUACGGGAGGCAGCAGUAAGGAAUAUUGCUCAAUGGCCGAAAGGCUGAAGCAGCAACGCCGCGUGGAGGAUGAAAUACUUUAGUAUGUAAACUCCUGUAAGAGGGGAAAAAUAUACAGCUAUGCUAGUGUUGAUUGUACCCUCAGAGUAAGCACCGGCUAACUACGUG